rnacentral:hammerhead_ribozyme from 1 species
GUAUUGCUGAGGAGUCUCACAAUAGAACGAAACGGCUGUCCAGUGC